ACCACGCCCCCCAACCCCGCGCGCCAGCCGGGAGCGGGGCCUGGCGGCCUUGGGGGCCGGCUGAGCUCCCGGCGCGGCGGUCUGAAGAGUUGGCGGACGGGCGGUCGAAGCGCCGAGCCCGGGGCGGGAGACGGCGGCCGCGCUGACCUCUCGGCUUUGCGGGGCUUGGCGCAGAGGCCCGCGGGGUUCACUUCCUUGAAAGUGAAGAAAGUGAAAGAAACCUUUCUUGACUACUCCAUGGGCAAUAACAACCCCACCUACUCUUUUUUCUUAACAGGAAUUAGUUUAUUCAUGAUGAACUACACACUUUUGUUUGGAAAACUGCAUUCCUUCUUACAGCUUCAAUAACACUAUGAUGUUCCCUGAUUAACACCUUAAACGAGAGAUUUUGUGAUUAAAGAUGGGAGCAGCAGGCAAGAAAAAUUCAUAGAUCAUGCUGCAGAUUCCAGCACUGGCAAAUGGAUGGAUAUUGGUGCAUUUUAUUAAACUAGAGACCAUAGGAUUUCUCACAGACAUAUUUGCGAGAAAAGUUGAUACUCGGAACCGCUGACAAAAUGCAACUAUCUGAGGAUUCUAAAAAUUAAAAGAUGGCUGAGAAAUUGGAAUAUAGCCAGCCCUCCAUAUCCAUGGAUUGCACACCUUCUGAUUCCACAUCCAUGGAUUUAACCAACUCUGGAUCAUAAUCUGCAGAUUUGGAACCCAUGGAUACAGGGGGCUGACAAAGGGAAUUGAGCAUCUGUGGAUUUGGUAUCCACUGUGGGUCCUGGAAUCAAUCCCCUGUGAAUACCAAGGGGUGACUGUAUAUCAGUAUUGCAUUUGUAAAUAUCUAUCACACUUAGUUUAAAUAAAGUUUAUAACG
rnacentral:lncRNA from 1 species